GACGAACGCUGGCGGCGUGCCUAAUACAUGCAAGUUGAGCGCUGAAGGUUGGUACUUGUACCAACUGGAUGAGCAGCGAACGGGUGAGUAACGCGUGGGGAAUCUGCCUUUGAGCGGGGGACAACAUUUGGAAACGAAUGCUAAUACCGCAUAAAAACUUUAAACACAAGUUUUAAGUUUGAAAGAUGCAAUUGCAUCACUCAAAGAUGAUCCCGCGUUGUAUUAGCUAGUUGGUGAGGUAAAGGCUCACCAAGGCGAUGAUACAUAGCCGACCUGAGAGGGUGAUCGGCCACAUUGGGACGGAGACACGGCCCAAACUCCUACGGGAGGCAGCAGGAGGGAAUCUUCGGCAAUGGACGAAAGUCUGACCGAGCAACGCCGCGGGAGUGAAGAAGGUUUUCGGAUCGUAAAACUCUGUUGGUAGAGAAGAACGUUGGUGAGAGUGGAAAGCUCAUCAAGUGACGGUAACUACACAGAAAGGGACGGCUAACUACGUG
rnacentral:rRNA from 1 species